rnacentral:tRNA from 1 species
GGAUUGUGGCUCAGCGGUAGAGUGCUCCACUAGCACAGGCAUGACCUGGGUUCGAUUCUCAGCACCA